rnacentral:tRNA from 2 species
GGGAUUAUAGCUCAGCUGGUUAGAGCGCACGCCUGAUAAGCGUGAGGUCGAUGGUUCGAGUCCAUUUAAUCCCACCA